CGUGCUAGGGAUAGGGAAUUGCAAUUAUUUCCCUUGAACGAGGAAUUCCCAGUAAGCGCGAGUCAUUAGCUCGCGUUGAUUACGUCCCUGCCCUUUGUACACACCGCCCGUCGCUACUACCGAUUGAAUGGUUUAGUGAGGUCCUCCGAUUGGACCCGGUCCGGGCGGCGACGUCCGAGCCGGCGUCCGAGAAGACGAUCUAACUUGAUCAUUUAGAGGAAGUAAAAGUCGUAACAAGGUUUCCGUAGGUGAACCUGCGGAAGGAUCAUUA
rfam:Ciona savignyi cont_38223, whole genome shotgun sequence.